rnacentral:lncRNA from 1 species
AUUGAUUUGUUUUGAUAUAUAUAUAUAUUAUAUAUAUAUAUAUACUUGAGUAUGACGGUUUUGAGAUGCAUGGGAUUUCUUGCAUGGUUUUCUAAACGGUGGGGUUAUAUUACGUUGGUUUACACUGAACUGAAUUUAUUUUUGUCCACUCACAAUUUUCUGUUUUGCGCCCCCCAGCCAGUAGUUGACUGAGCUCCGCAGCAGAGCCGGAUCGUGCGCUUCCGAGCCUUAAGUCAUCGUAAGACUCUUUCUUCAUGUUAUUUCCUUUGUACUCUGUUUUGUUGUAAUUGAAGUCCUUAGACAUGCUCUG